CGCAAAGUAGAGCAGUCGGUAGCUCGCUAGGCUCAUAACCUGGAGGUCGAGGGUUCGAGUCCCUCCUUUGCUA
rnacentral:tRNA from 1 species